UAGGGAAUCUUCCACAAUGGACGAAAGUCUGAUGGAGCAACGCCGCGUGAGUGAAGAAGGUUGUCGGAUCGUAAAGCUCUGUUGUUGGUGAAGAAGGAUAGAGGCAGUAACUGGUCUUUAUUUGACGGUAAUCAACCAGAAAGUCACGGCUAACUACGUACCAG
rnacentral:rRNA from 1 species